UCGGACGGGGUGAGUAACGCGUAGAAUCUGCCUUCAGGACGGGGAUAACAGUUGGAAACGACUGCUAAGACCGGAUGUGCCGAGAGGUGAAAUAUUUAUAGCCUGAAGAUGAGCUCGCGUCCGAUUAGCUAGUUGGUAAGGUAAAAGCUUACCAAGGCGACGAUCGGUAGCUGGUCUGAGAGGACGAUCAGCCACACUGGGACUGAGACACGGCCCAGACUCCUACGGGAGGCAGCAGUGGGGAAUUUUCCGCAAUGGGCGAAAGCCUGACGGAGCAAGACCGCGUGGGGGAGGAAGGUUCUUGGAUUGUAAACCCCUUUUCUCAGGGAAGAACACAAUGACGGUACCUGAGGAAUCAGCAUCGGCUAACUCCGUGCCAGCAGCCGCGGUAAUACGGAGGAUGCAAGCGUUAUCCGGAAUAAUUGGGCGUAAAGCGUCCGUAGGUGGCUGUUCAAGUCUGCCGUUAAAGACCGGGGCUUAACCCUGGAAAGGCGGUGGAAACUGAACGGCUAGAGUGCAGUAGGGGUAGAGGGAAUUCCCAGUGUAGCGGUGAAAUGCGUAGAGAUUGGGAAGAACACCGGUGGCGAAAGCGCUCUGCUGGACUGCAACUGACACUGAGGGACGAAAGCUAGGGGAGCGAAAGGGAUUAGAUACCCC
rnacentral:rRNA from 1 species